rnacentral:lncRNA from 1 species
GAGGGGGAGGCAUGGUCACAGGAGGAAAAGGAGAAGGAGCCCCACGGGAAGAAGAUGCGCCAACCUGCCUAGCUCUCUCCCUUUCGCAAGCUAGAUACCUCCGACAUACAUCUUUUGCAAAGGUAUUUCGCUCUCUUACUCGUUGCUUGAUUUGCUUCAAGGAUGGUAGGUUCGAAGGCGAAGACAUGACAGUAGACGAAGAAAAAGAUUUCUUGCCACAGGAGGAG